CCCUAGUUCCUUAGGUUAAGCGGAGCGCUUUCGAGAAAGAGUGGGGAAGUUAAGACCAGGAUUCUGCCCACCCAGCGUCUCCUCCUCACACCAAGGUCAAUGGCUACUAUGACUGAGUCCAGGAACCUGGAGUUCAAGGUCACACCAAUGCAGCCAGUCAUCCUGAUGUCCUUGAAUCCCCCAGAAAAGGAUUAUUUGUUUCUCUCCAUCAUUUCCUUCUUCUUCUUCAUUCUGCUGGCAAUCCCGGCCCUCUUCUUCUCCCUCAAGACCCGGCAAGCCAACUUUCAUGGGAAUCAGAGGAAAGCACAGAUCAAUUCCAGACUGGCCCUGGGAUUCAGCAUCUCAAGCAUCCUGGUGGGCUCCAUUAUGAUCAUUUGCUCUAUUGUAGUUGGAGUCCUGAAACGUAAAGUAUGAGAUCAUAUUGAAAGCUCACUUCCCUCAAAGAGUCAUGAGCUGCACCUUCUGGAGCCUUUGAAUUUGGACAUCAAUAAUCUACCUGUACUGGAGGAAGUCUCCCCUCCAUUAGCAUUUGUUAAGAGAAAUAAAGUUUAU